rnacentral:rRNA from 1 species
UACGAAGGGGGGCUAGCGUUGCUCGGAAUUACUGGGCGUAAAGGGCGCGUAGGCGGCACUGUUAGUCAGGCGUGAAAGUCCUGGGCUCAACCUGGGAACUGCGCUUGAUACGGCAGAGCUAGAGGAUGGAAGAGGGUCGCGGAAUUCCCAGUGUAGAGGUGAAAUUCGUAGAUAUUGGGAAGAACACCGGUGGCGAAGGCGGCGACCUGGUCCAUUACUGACGCUGAGGCGCGAAAGUGUGGGAGCGAACAG